rnacentral:rRNA from 1 species
UGUACCUACGGGGGGCAGCAGUGAGGAAUAUUGGUCAAUGGGCUUACGCCUGAACCAGCCAAGUCGCGUGAGGGAAGACUGCCCUAUGGGUUGUAAACCUCUUUUGUCGGGGAGCAAAAGACGCCACGCGUGGCGUUCCGAGAGUACCCGAAGAAAAAGCAUCGGCUAACUCCGUGCCAGCAGCCGCGGUAAUACGGAGGAUGCGAGCGUUAUCCGGAUUUAUUGGGUUUAAAGGGUGCGCAGGCGGAAGAUCAAGUCAGCGGUAAAAUUGAGAGGCUCAACCUCUUCGAGCCGUUGAAACUGGU